ACAAGUUAGAGCUUUUGCAGCUGGAGAGAGGAGCAAGAAGAUGUAAGCAGCUCUGCAGACACCAAGGUCAGUGCAGAAGGAGGGGGAGGAGGUGCUCCAGGCGCCGGAGCAGAGAUCCCCCUGCAGCCCGUGGUGAAGACCAUGGUGAGGCAGGCUGUCCCCCUGCAGCCCAUGGAGGAAGGAUGAGGGGGCGUAGAGAUUCCACCUGUAGCCUGUGGAGGACCCCACGCUGGAGCAGGCGUGUAACCGAAUGGAUAAUCAUGGUGAUGGGAAGGGAAAAUUCUGAGCAGAACGCGGUAACAGGUGGAGGCACCUGAAGGAGGCUGUGACCCCGUGGGAAGCCCACACUGGAGCAGGCUCCUGGCAGGACCUGUGGACCCGUGGAGAGAGGAUCCCACGCCAGAGCAGGUUUGCUGGCAGGACUUGUGACCCCAUGGGGGACCCACGCUGGAGCAGUCUACUCCUGAAGGUCUGCACCCCAUGGAAGGGACCCACACUGGAGCAGUUCGUGAAGGACUGCAGCCCAUGGGAAGGACUCACAUUGGAGAAGUUUGUGGAGGACUGUCUCCCGUGAGAGGGACUCCAUGCUGGAGCAGGCGAAGAAUGAGAGGAGUCCUCCCCCUGAGGAUGAAGGAGCAGCAGAAACAACAUGUGAUGAACUGACUGUAACCCCCAUUCCCCGUCCCCCUGUGCCGCUGAGGGGGGAGGAGGUUGAAGCCAGGAGUGAAGUUAAGCCUGGGAACAAGGGAGAGGUGGGAGGAGGCGUUUUAAGAUUUGAUUUUAUUUCUCGUUGCUCUACUCUGUUUUGCUUGGUAAUAAAUUAGAUGAUUUUUUCUCUAA